rnacentral:rRNA from 1 species
CUACGGGAGGCAGCAGGCGAGAAAACUUUGCAAUGUGCGAAAGCACGACAAGGUUAAUCCGAGUGGUUUGUGCUAAACGAACCUUUUGACAGUCCUAGAAACACUGUUGAAUAAGGGGUGGGCAGGUUCUGGUGUCAGCCGCCGCGGUAAAACCAGCACCUCAAGUGGUCAGGAUGAUUAUUGGGCCUAAAGCAUCCGUAGCCGGCUCUGUUAGUUUUCGGUUAAAUCUGUACGCUCAACGUACAGGCUGCCGGGAAUACUGCAGAGCUAGGGAGUGGGAGAGGUAGACGGUACUCGGUAGGAAGGGGUAAAAUCCUUUGAUCUAUUGAUGACCACCUGUGGCGAAGGCGGUCUACCAGAACACGUCCGACGGUGAGGGAUGAAAGCUGGGGGAGCAAACCGGAUUAGAUACCCCGGUAGUC